rnacentral:rRNA from 1 species
GGAGGCAUUGUCGAACCUGCGAGGCAGACCGUGAACACGUGUUAAAAAACGCCGCCGGUCGCCGCGGGGCGGCGGGGGCCCGUCCCUCCCGCUCCGUCGGCCCCGGCCCCCGCACGGCGCGCGCUCGAGCGCGUCGGGCGGGCUAACGAACUCCCGGCGCGGAACGCGCCAAGGAAAACCGAAAACGGAGCGCCCCGUCCCGCCCCCACCCGCCCCGUCCGCGGAGCGCGGCGCGGGGGUGGGCGGGGCGCCUCGAGCUCAUAAGAUGUCAAAACGACUCUCGGCAACGGAUAUCUCGGCUCUCGCAUCGAUGAAGAACGCAGCGAAAUGCGAUACUUGGUGUGAAUUGCAGAAUCCCGUGAACCAUCGAGUCUUUGAACGCAAGUUGCGCCCGAAGCCAUCCGGCCGAGGGCACGUCUGCCUGGGCGUCACGCAUCGCGUCGCCCCCCUCCCUCCGGGGCGGGGGGGCGGACAUUGGCCUCCCGUGCGCUCCCGCGCGCGGCCGGCCCAAAUGGGAUCCCCCGGCGACGCGCGUCGCGACCAGUGGUGGUUGAACGCUCAGCUCCCUUGCUGUCCGUCGCGCCCCGCGCCGUCGUCCGGACGGGCAUCACGAACGACCCUCAGCGCGCCCCCGGGCGCCUCCGACCGCGACCCCAGGUCAGGCGGGAUCACCCG